rnacentral:rRNA from 1 species
CGGCAGGCCUAAUACAUGCAAGUCGAACGAACGCUUCGGCGUUAGUGGCGCACGGGUGCGUAACACGUAGGCAAUCUACCCUAUGGCGGGGGAUACACUGGGAAACCGGUGGCUAAUACCGCAUAGAUUCACUGGGGGGCAUCCUCGUAGUGGGUAAAGAUUUAUCACCAUAGGAUGAGCCUGCGUCCGAUUAGCUAGUUGGGGGUGUAACGGACCACCAAGGCGACGAUCGGUAGCUGGUCUGAGAGGAUGAUCAGCCACACUGGCACUGAGACACGGGCCAGACUCCUACGGGAGGCAGCAGUAGGGAAUAUUGGUCAAUGGGCGCAAGCCUGAACCAGCCAUGCCGCGUGCGGGAAGACGGUCCACAGGAUUGUAAACCGCUUUUCUACGGGGAUAAGGCGCCAUUAGAUGGCGAUUGAAGGUACCGUAGGAAUAAGCACCGGCAAACUACGUGCCAGCAGCCGCGGUAAUACGUAGGGUGCAAGCGUUGUCCGGAAUUACUGGGUUUAAAGGGUACGUAGGCGGCUUCAUAAGCUGCGGGUGAAAUACUGGGGCUUAACCCUGGUGCUGCCUGCAGAACUGUGGGGCUUGAGCACGGCUGAGGUAGCUGGAAUUAGUGGUGUAGCGGUGAAAUGCGUAGAUAUCACUAGGAACGCCAAUUGCGAAGGCAGGCUACUGGCCCGUGACUGACGCUGAGGUACGAAAGCGUGGGGAGCGAACAGGAUUAGAUACCCUGGUAGUCCACGCCGUAAACGAUGGAUACUGGCCGCUGGGUCGAUACAGAUUCAGCGGCUGAGCGAAAGCGUUAAGUAUCCCACCUGGGGAGUACGCUCGCAAGGGUGAAACUCAAAGGAAUUGACGGGGGCCCGCACAAGUGGUGGAGCAUGUGGUUUAAUUCGAUGAUACGCGAUGAACCUUACCUGGGCUCGAAUGUUAGCUGCUACCUGGUGAAAGCCGGGGUUCCUUCGGGACGGUUAACAAGGUGCUGCAUGGCUGUCGUCAGCUCGUGCCGUGAGGUGUUGGGUUAAGUCCCGCAACGAGCGCAACCCCUAUCGUUAGUUGCCAGCGGUUCGGCCGGGGACUCUAACGAGACUGCCCUCGCAAGAGGAGAGGAAGGUGGGGACGACGUCAAGUCAUCAUGGCCCUUACGCCCAGGGCGACACACGUGCUACAAUGGCCGGUACAGCGGGAGGCGAAGCUGCAAAGUGGAGCAAAUCUCGAAAAGCCGGUCUCAGUUCGGAUUGUAGUCUGCAACUCGACUACAUGAAGGCGGAAUCACUAGUAAUCGCGGAUCAGCCAUACCGCGGUGAUACGUUCCCGGGCCUUGUACACACCGCCCGUCAAGCCAUGGAAGCCGGGGGUGCCUGAAGUCGCUGCAGUGUAGCGCCUAGGGCAAAACUGUAACUGGGGCUAAGUC